GAUCCCAUGCUGACAUGGCAUAUUAAGGAGUUUUAACUCAGGGUUCAGGCAUAACACAAACGCACCUAUAGAGAGAGAAAUAUACAGAUAUAGAGCGAGAAACAAGGCGCGGAGAGGCCGUCUGAAAACAGGAGAAAGCGCUGCUGCUGCUGCAAAAUUCUUCUUCUAUUUCUCUCUCGAUAUACGUGCAUCUAUAUUUAAUUCAUUAUAUACGUACACUAGCAUUUUCUAGGCCACAAUCUUUAGAAUCUAAUUAAGGAAAAUUAGUGGAANNNN
rnacentral:lncRNA from 1 species